AUUGAACGCUGGCGGCAUGCCUUACACAUGCAAGUCGAACGGCAGCACGGGAGCAAUCCUGGUGGCGAGUGGCGAACGGGUGAGUAAUAUAUCGGAACGUGCCCAAUCGUGGGGGAUAACGCAGCGAAAGCUGUGCUAAUACCGCAUACGAUCUACGGAUGAAAGCGGGGGAUUCGCAAGAACCUCGCGCGACUGGAGCGGCCGAUAUCAGAUUAGCUAGUUGGUGGGGUAAAAGCCUACCAAGGCGACGAUCAGUAGCUGGUCUGAGAGGACGACCAGCCACACUGGGACUGAGACACGGUCCAGACUCCUACGGGAGGCAGCAGUGGGGAAUUUUGGGACAAUGGGCGCAAGCCUGAUCCAGCAAUGCCGCGUGCAGGACGACUGCCCUAUGGGUUGUAAACUUCUUUUGUAUAGGGAUAAACCUACCCUCGUGAGGGUAGCUGAAGGUACUAUACGAAUAAGCACCGGCUAACUCCGUG
rnacentral:rRNA from 1 species